rnacentral:rRNA from 1 species
UACGUAGGGGGCAAGCGUUGUCCGGAAUAAUUGGGCGUAAAGGGCGCGUAGGCGGCUCGGUAAGUCUGGAGUGAAAGUCCUGCUUUUAAGGUGGGAAUUGCUUUGGAUACUGUCGGGCUUGAGUGCAGGAGAGGUUAGUGGAAUUCCCAGUGUAGCGGUGAAAUGCGUAGAGAUUGGGAGGAACACCAGUGGCGAAGGCGACUAACUGGACUGUAACUGACGCUGAGGCGCGAAAGUGUGGGGAGCAAACAGGAUUAGAUACCCUGGUAGUCCACACUGUAAACGAUGAAUGCUAGGUGUAGGGGGUAUCGACCCCUUCUGUGCCGCAGUCAACACAAUAAGCAUUCCGCCUGGGGAGUACGGCCGCAAGGUUGAA